GACGAACGCUGGCGGCGUGCCUAAUACAUGCAAGUAGAACGCUGAAGGAGGAGCUUGCUUCUCUGGAUGAGUUGCGAACGGGUGAGUAACGCGUAGGUAACCUGCCUGGUAGCGGGGGAUAACUAUUGGAAACGAUAGCUAAUACCGCAUAAGAGUAGAUGUUGCAUGACAUUUGCUUAAAAGGUGCAAUUGCAUCACUACCAGAUGGACCUGCGUUGUAUUAGCUAGUUGGUGGGGUAACGGCUCACCAAGGCGACGAUACAUAGCCGACCUGAGAGGGGGAUCGGCCACACUGGGACUGAGACACGGCCCAGACUCCUACGGGAGGCAGCAGUAGGGAAUCUUCGGCAAUGGACGGAAGUCUGACCGAGCAACGCCGCGGGAGUGAAGAAGGUUUUCGGAUCGUAAAGCUCUGUUGUAAGAGAAGAACGAGUGUGAGAGUGGAAAGUUCACACUGUGACGGUAUCUUACCAGAAAGAGACGGCUAACUACGUG
rnacentral:rRNA from 1 species